rnacentral:rRNA from 1 species
GACGAACGCUGGCGGCGUGCUUAACACAUGCAAGUCGAACGAAGAGCGAUGGAAGCUUGCUUCUAUCAAUCUUAGUGGCGAACGGGUGAGUAACGCGUAAUCAACCUGCCCUUCAGAGGGGGACAACAGUUGGAAACGACUGCUAAUACCGCAUACGAUCUAAUCUCGGCAUCGAGGAAAGAUGAAAGGUGGCCUCUAUUUAUAAGCUAUCACUGAAGGAGGGGAUUGCGUCUGAUUAGCUAGUUGGAGGGGUAACGGCCCACCAAGGCGAUGAUCAGUAGCCGGUCUGAGAGGAUGAACGGCCACAUUGGGACUGAGACACGGCCCAGACUCCUACGGGAGGCAGCAGUGGGGAAUCUUCCGCAAUGGACGAAAGUCUGACGGAGCAACGCCGCGUGAGUGAUGACGGCUCCGGGUUGUAAAGCUCUGUUAAUCGGGACGAAAGGCCUUCUUGCGAACAGUUAGAAGGAUUGACGUACCGGAAUAGAAACCACG